GAGUUUGAUCGUGGCUCAGAAUGAACGCUGGCGGCAUGCCUAACACAUGCAAGUCGAACGAGAUCUUCGGAUCUAGUGGCGCACGGGUGCGUAACGCGUGGGAAUCUACCCCUUGGUUCGGAAUAACAGUUGGAAACGACUGCUAAUACCGGAUGACGACGUAAGUCCAAAGAUUUAUCGCCGAGGGAUGAGCCCGCGUAGGAUUAGCUAGUUGGUGUGGUAAAGGCGCACCAAGGCGACGAUCCUUAGCUGGUCUGAGAGGAUGAUCAGCCACACUGGGACUGAGACACGGCCCAGACUCCUACGGGAGGCAGCAGUGGGGAAUAUUGGACAAUGGGCGAAAGCCUGAUCCAGCAAUGCCGCGUGAGUGAUGAAGGCCUUAGGGUUGUAAAGCUCUUUUACCCGGGAUGAUAAUGACAGUACCGGGAGAAUAAGCUCCGGCUAACUCCGUGCCAGCCGCCGCGGUAAC
rnacentral:rRNA from 1 species